UACGAGGGGGGCAAGCGUUGUUCGGAAUUAUUGGGCGUAAAGGGUGCGUAGGCGGUUUGGUAAGUCUGAUGUGAAAUCUCCUGGCUCAACUGGGAGCUUGCAGGCGAAACUGCCGUGCUGGAGUGUGGGAGAGGUGCGUGGAAUUCCUGGUGUAGCGGUGAAAUGCGUAGAUAUCAGGAGGAACACCUGUGGCGAAAGCGGCGCACUGGACCACAACUGACGCUGAGGCGCGAAAGCUAGGGGAGCAAACAGG
rnacentral:rRNA from 1 species